rnacentral:rRNA from 1 species
UGGGGAAUAUUGCGCAAUGGGGGAAACCCUGACGCAGCGACGCCGUGUGAAUGAUGAAGUCUUUCGGGAUGUAAAGUUCUGUCAGAGGGAAAGAUAAUGACGGUACCCUCAGAGGAAGCUCCGGCUAAUUAUGUGCCAGCAGCCGCGGUAAUACAUAAGGAGCGAGCGUUAUCCGGAUUUACUGGGCGUAAAGGGCGCGUAGGCUGCAAGAUAAGUCAGGUGUUAAAUUCCAGGGCUCAACCCUGGCACGCGCUUGAUACUAUCUUGCUAGAGAGUGGGAGAGGAAAGUGGAAUUCAUGGUGUAGCGGUGAAAUGCGUAGAUAUCAUGAAGAACACCAGUUGCGAAGGCGGCUUUCUGGCCCAUAUCUGACGCUGAGGCGCGAAAGCGUGGGGAGCAAACAGG